UACGAAGGGGGCUAGCGUUGCUCGGAAUCACUGGGCGUAAAGCGCACGUAGGCGGAUUGCUAAGUCAGGGGUGAAAUCCUGGAGCUCAACUCCAGAACUGCCUUUGAUACUGGCGAUCUCGAGUCCGGGAGAGGUGAGUGGAACUGCGAGUGUAGAGGUGAAAUUCGUAGAUAUUCGCAAGAACACCAGUGGCGAAGGCGGACUCACUGGCCCGGUACUGACGCUGAGGUGCGGAAAGCGUGGGGAGCAAACGG
rnacentral:rRNA from 1 species